rnacentral:lncRNA from 1 species
CACCCUCAGCUGUGCCCAGCAGAGCAAGGGCCACAUCUGCCAUCUGAACAGGCAGGGGGGUUCUUUAUGCAGAUCCUCACUGCCUGGAUUUCUUGCCAUUGGAAGGGGUGCCUCUCCCUGAAGGUGGAUCUCUGAAGGAGGCAGGCCAGGCCUUCCAGCAAAGCUUUCUUUGCCUGGUGUGGUUGUCUAUCUCUCCAGGGGACAGCAAGUGACCGGCACAGAGGCUCUGCUGUGUGCCUGCAGAACGCAGGGACUGCCUUCCCAGCUGCCUCUGCGCAGCCAGAACCUUCCACUGAGAAGCCAGGCGCUUCUACAUGGUAGAGCUGAGCCAAGAACUUCAGACGUAACCAACGCACAGGACAAGCUCUGGGGACCGUGUCUCCUGAACGCACACAAGCUGAGGGGAGCCACUCCUUAGAAACAAUUAAACAGGAAUAUUACAGGAUUCAGUAUCCCUCUUUGGGAACUGGUGGACCCGUCACCCCCAAAUGAAAUCAGCACUUCUCAAAGUGUCCUGUAUUUAUGGUAGCACUAGCCACAGUAGCCAGGAUACAAAAAAAAAAAAAAAAAAAAAGAAAAAAGAAAAAAGAAAAAAGAAAGAAAGAAAGAAAGACUUGUGAAUGGCUAAAGUUUGAUACACACCUCUAGAGAGAGGGGGAGAGAGAGAGCCUUAAAAAUUAAAAAUGAAUUUUAAGGAAUUAUAUCACAUUCUAAACAUGUGUAACAAACAAACAAAAAGGAGGAUGUUUCUUUGACCUUGUGGUUGUUUUAUAGGCUCCUCAUCAGAACACCUUAUAUCCUUAGCUGAGGUUCCUAUGUUCCCCAGAAACCAUAAGCCCCCUUAACUUUGCUCUGAUUUUUCUGACUGCUUUCUACACUUACUGAUAGUAGCACAACACCUUAGAAACCUGGAUCUUGAUGACAUCUGCACACAGCUUAAAGAGAAUAUUGGCUUCAACAUGCCACAAUUUAGACAUAUUUGGGGCUGGCCAUCUAGAAAUGGACUUUGGACUUGAAAUUCCCAGAACCCUCAGCAACACAGCGUCCCUCCACUCUGAUCCACAUGCUGUGGUCCAGGCGUAAGGUAGUGUGUCUGAGAGAACACUGUGAGGGACUCGGUCAGCUCACUGGACUCGGCUUCUCAUACUGUCUAAAUGUGAGCUCGGUGCUGGGUCUGUGUCCUGAUGACGCCACAGCCACUUCCUGUUGUGCAAAAACCAAGCUAUCAAGUUUGAACUGCUUUGAACUGCCAUCUUGAAUAUAGAGAAAUGGAGCACAGACGCUGGCCUGGUGCCCCCUUCUCCCAGUGUGAAGAAAUGGACGUCUGACUAGCAAGUUCCCUCUCAAAUGUUCAAGACUCCCAUAGUAAGAAAAGAAGAAAGCCAGAUGGUUCCAGUUUUGUUUGUGGAAGCAACCACAGAGGACUCACACUGAGCCCAGCUGCCUCUUCACCCUUGCAGGUUUCUGUGGGUUGUACCUGUUCCUCUUGGUUCUCCAUUGUUCCUUGUCCAUCAGUGGGUAGACAAACGUCAAUUAUUUCUGGGGCUGCAAGACUACAAUCAAAAGUAUAUUAUCUGUACUUCCCCUCCUCCCGUGUACAGAUGAUGUAUCCUUACUCUUUCCUGUGUCUUAACAAGGGCUUUGUGGUGUGUGUGUGCAUGAGCAUACAUGUAUAUUAGCAUUUGACGACUACAAUGUUCUGUAAUAGUAAAUCCUACUGGUGAUUGGAUUAGAACUAC